CCUACGGGUGGCAGCAGUGGGGAAUAUUGCACAAUGGGGGGAACCCUGAUGCAGCGACGCCGCGUGGGUGAGGAAGUACUUCGGUAUGUAAAGCCCUAUCAGCAGGGAAGAAAAUGACGGUACCUGACUAAGAAGCCCCGGCUAACUACGUGCCAGCAGCCGCGGUAAUACGUAGGGGGCAAGCGUUAUCCGGAUUUACUGGGUGUAAAGGGAGCGUAGACGGCGUGGCAAGUCUGAUGUGAAAGGCCGGGGCUCAACCCCGGGACUGCAUUGGAAACUGGCAUGCUGGAGUGCCGGAGGGGCAAGCGGAAUUCCUAGUGUAGCGGUGAAAUGCGUAGAUAUUAGGAAGAACACCAGUGGCGAAGGCGGCUUUCUGGACUGAAACUGACGCUGAGGCACGAAGGCGUGGGGAGCGAACGGGAUUAGAUACCCCAGUAGUC
rnacentral:rRNA from 1 species